rnacentral:rRNA from 1 species
UACGUAGGCACCAAGCGUUGUCCGGAUUUAUUGGGCGUAAAGAGCUCGUAGGCGGUUCGGUAAGUCGGGUGUGAAAACUCUGGGCUCAACCCAGAGAGGCCACCCGAUACUGCCGUGACUGGAGUGCGGUAGGGGAGUGGGGAAUUCCUGGUGUAGCGGUGAAAUGCGCAGAUAUCAGGAGGAACACCGGUGGCGAAGGCGGCCCUCUGGACGGUGACUGACGCUGAGACGCGAAAGCGUGGGGAGCAAACAGG